rnacentral:rRNA from 1 species
UACGUAGGGGGCAAGCGUUGUCCGGAUUUAUUGGGCGUAAAGAGCGUGUAGGCGGCUUGGUAGGUCCGCUGUGAAAACUCGAGGCUCAACCUCGAGAUGUCGGCGGAAACCACUUGGCUAGAGUCCGGAAGAGGAGAGUGGAAUUCCAGGUGUAGCGGUGAAAUGCGUAGAUAUCUGGAGGAAUACCGGUGGCGAAGGCGGCAUCCUGGACCGACAUUGACGCUGAGGAGCGAAAGCUAGGGGAGCAAACGGG